UUGGAGUUUAGGGUUGUAUUCUAGCGCUAGGUCCAAAUGUGGAUUAGCUAGUAAACUAGCUCCAAUAGCUACCGCAGGAUAACAACAAACAGAAGCUUGCUCUGAGUCACGAGCUUUGAGGUACGUGAUUGUGUGCGUAUUUGGUCCGAAAAAGCGGUAAAGUGCGACUGAACAAUGCAAUCCAGUAGCGUGAUGCUGGUGGUUCUGCUCCUCGAAGUGCUCUGCCGGGCCGCACCCCCCAGCACGGAGAUGGUGACCCUGGAAGUGGAGUUGGGGGCCAUGGCGAUCUUCCCCUGCAAUGGCUCCUCCUUUCUGGGGCUGGGGGCCGGCGGGGGCUCGGGGGAGAGGAGGAGGAUGAGGGGGGGCUGUUCGUCUGGGAGGCCAUGGGGAAGGACGUGGUCGCCUUCAAGGACGGGGCCAUGGUGGAGGGCUCCCAGUACGAGGGGCGUGUUCACCUGGCGUCUGAGGACAGCGUCCUGACGGGUGAUUGGUCGCUGGUUCUGGAGGGGGUGCGGCACGCCGAUGUCAACAUGUACGAGUGCAUCGUACCGGGGAGAAGGACCCUGGCCAAUGUGUGGCUGAGCGUGGAGCCCCCUGAGGGGCAGACCCUGUGGGUGAACGCGUGGCUCGGGGACUCCACCUACCUGAGCUGUGAGGCCCCAGAGGCGGAGCGCUCACUGGACCUCCGCUUCUGGUGGGAGAAGGACGGGGUCCCGGUGCCGCACGACCAUGAGGAUAAAGAUCGUUUCCACGUGGAGACGGACGGUAACCAUGUGGGUCUGAUCAUCAGCCAGGUACUGAUCACCGACAGGGGGGUCUACCACUGCUUCUUCCAAUCACGGCCCUCUCAAGAGCCGAGGCGAGGGUCUCCAGAAAUCGUGAAAUUGACCGUUUUGGGAUCGGAGCACUUGGACGACGAGGAGAUGGGCCCCGAGGCUACUCCAUCGACGGAGCCUUCUACGCCACAGGAUGAGGAGGAGGAGGUGCCGACCCCCUCGGACCCCACCCUGCUGGAGAGCCCCCUACUCCUCUCCGAUGACACCCUCGGUGGGCAGGACAACAGCCAUGGGGAUGAUGUGCCCUGGGUUCGAAUCACCAUCAUGACCAGUGUUCUGGCCAUCACUGCCGUCACGCUUUGCAUCCUAAGAGCCCGGUACAUAAUCUGACCAUAGAGCGCGCCUUCGAUCAGUAUCUGAGAUCGGAAGUUAGAGCCGCAGCGAUUUGACCAUUCAGAGAAAAGAUGUGCAAAAAAUGUUUGUGAUCUUUUCUAUGGGAAGCUCAUUCACAGAACAUUGUGUUUUCUUUUUACAAAUAUGUAUUGCGCGAAUCCGUUAUGUGCAAUCUUUGGAAUUUCCGUAGUGUUUUAUCGAGUAAUAAAAAAAUAGUUUUAUCAUUUAUCUGGAAAGCAGAACCCGAGGGACCCAAGGCACUAAGAGUGUGGAUUUCGGUAAAUAUUUUAUUUCAUGACCCCCCAGAAAAUAAAUACAUUUUAUUUAUAAAAUAUUAUUCUCAACUUCUAAACGUCUUUAAACGAAAAAAAAAAAAAAGGCCUUUUUUUUAUGCAUUUCUGUUUUAAUGAAGGAACAUCUUUAGAGAUUGCCAAUGAAAAUGAAAAUGUUCAUCUGCUAACAUUUUCAUGAAACUGUUAUUAUCAUUAUUCAGUAAUUAUGCAAACUUAUUGUGUCAAAGGAACACGAUGUGAUGACAGACAACCUCAGAUGCUCUUUACCUCCCAGCAAUAGCAUAAAGCUUUUAUAUAUAGCAACUGGUACAGUAUACAUGACCACUCCAAGCUCAGAAUAUCCGAGGGAGGGAGGGAGAGAGAGAGAGAGAGAGAGAGAGAGAGAGAGAGAG
ensembl:lncRNA